CAAGUCGUUCUUGGAAACAAAUGCUAAUGGGGGCGAUGAGGCCGGAACAGAGGAAGAGCAAGCAGCAUUCAUGAAGGAGCUGGAAACUUUCCACAAAGAGAGGUGCUUGGAAUUCAAACCCCCAAGAUUUUAUGGAGAGCCAUUAAAUUGCCUCAAGUUAUGGAGAGCAGUCAUCAGACUUGGUGGCUAUGAACAGGUGACUUCCAAAAACGAUCAAGCACAAGGCUGAUGCUUCAAAACCAUAUAUAUUCCUUCCUGUUGUAGAAUUUUU